CUUACCUUUUGGACAUAUGACUUGACUUUUGGACAUAAGACAGGCUGGACUUAUGACAUUUUGGAUUGGUAAAUUAGUGGACUAAUGUUACUAAAUAACUUAGUUAUUCACUAAUUCUGACUUCUAAAAGACGUUAAAUUCACUAGAUUAGAUUAUAACGAAAGUUCUAGAAUAAGGUUUUAACUAUUGCGUAAUUCGAAUCGAUAGAUCGUUAUGGUCUUAGUACGUAGUAGUUGUUAGUGUUAUCAAGGACGUAACACUAAAAGCUUUGUUUUAACGAUUUAGGUCCCAAUUUCAUAAGCGGCUCGUUCUAUUAAGUCAGCGAAAAUUCUCCGUUACAAGACUAGGUGAGCUGGUGCUGCUGCAUGACAUCAAGCAUAUGGGGGCUAGACUGUAGUUUGAAGUUAACUUUUGGUUUGAUCAUUAAUGAAUUUUAUAGAACAUUGUUACAUGGUUUGAGUUUGAAUAAAGAGGGGUCAUCUACGAUUCCCGAGUUGUAAUUACAUUUUCUAUUCCGCUGCAAUUUGGUUUUGAGACAAUGAAUUUGAGUUACCGU